GAUGAACGCUGGCGGCGUGCCUAAUACAUGCAAGUCGAGCGAAUGGAUUAAGAGCUUGCUCUUAUGAAGUUAGCGGCGGACGGGUGAGUAACACGUGGGUAACCUGCCCAUAAGACUGGGAUAACUCCGGGAAACCGGGGCUAAUACCGGAUAACAUUUUGAACCGCAUGGUUCGAAAUUGAAAGGCGGCUUCGGCUGUCACUUAUGGAUGGACCCGCGUCGCAUUAGCUAGUUGGUGAGGUAACGGCUAACCAAGGCAACGAUGCGUCGCCGACCUGAGAUGGUGAUCGGCCACACUGGGACUGAGACACGGCCCAGACUCCUACGGGAGGCAGCAGUAGGGAAUCUUCCGCAAUGGACGAAAGUCUGACGGAGCAACGCCGCGUGAGUGAUGAAGGCUUUCGGGUCGUAAAACUCUGUUGUUAGGGAAGAACAAGUGCUAGUUGAAUAAGCUGGCACCUUGACGGUACCUAACCAGAAAGCCACGGCUAACUACGUGCCAGCCGCCGCAGUAA
rnacentral:rRNA from 1 species